GACCCCGCACAAGCGGCGGAGCAUGCGGCUUAAUUCGAUGAUACCCGUAGAACCUUACCUGGACUUGACAUAUAGGGUCAAGCUAUAGAGAUAUAGUGUGCAUUAGCGCCCUAUACAGGUGGUGCAUGGCUGUCGUCAGCUCGUGUCGUGAGAUGUUGGGUUAAGUCCCGCAACGAGCGCAACCCCCUGUCCUAUGUUGCCAGCAAGUAAUGUUGGGGACUCAUAGGAGACUGCCGUGAUAAACCGGAGGAAGGUGGGACGACGUCAAGUCAUCAUGCCCCUUAUGUCCAGGGCUGCACGCAUGCUACAAUGGCAAGUACAACGAGUCGCAAUACCGCGAGGUGGGAGCA
rnacentral:rRNA from 1 species